CUGAGAGGAUGACCAGCCACACUGGAACUGAGACACGGUCCAGACUCCUACGGGAGGCAGCAGUGGGGAAUAUUGCACAAUGGGCGCAAGCCUGAUGCAGCCAUGCCGCGUGUAUGAAGAAGGCCUUCGGGUUGUAAAGUACUUUCAGCGGGGAGGAAGGGAGUAAAGUUAAUACCUUUGCUCAUUGACGUUACCCGCAGAAGAAGCACCGGCUAACUCCGUGCCAGCAGCCGCGGUAAUACGGAGGGUGCAAGCGUUAAUCGGAAUUACUGGGCGUAAAGCGCACGCAGGCGGUUUGUUAAGUCAGAUGUGAAAUCCCCGGGCUCAACCUGGGAACUGCAUCUGAUACUGGCAAGCUUGAGUCUCGUAGAGGGGGGUAGAAUUCCAGGUGUAGCGGUGAAAUGCGUAGAGAUCUGGAGGAAUAUCGGUGGCGAAGGCGGCCCCCUGGACGAAGAC
rnacentral:rRNA from 1 species